CAACCUGCCGUCUACUCUUGGACAGCCUUCUGAAAGGAAGAUUAAUACAAGAUGGCAUCAUGAGUCCGCAUGUUCACAUGAUUAAAGGUAUUCCGGUAGACGAUGGGGAUGCGUUCCAUUAGAUAGUAGGCGGGGUAACGGCCCACCUAGUCUUCGAUGGGUAGGGGUUCUGAGAGGAAGGUCCCCCACAUUGGAACUGAGACACGGUCCAAACUCCUACGGGAGGCAGCAGUGAGGAAUAUUGGUCAAUGGGCGAGAGCCUGAACCAGCCAAGUAGCGUGAAGGAUGACUGCCCUAUGGGUUGUAAACUUCUUUUAUAAAGGAAUAAAGUCGGGUAUGGAUACCCGUUUGCAUGUACUUUAUGAAUAAGGAUCGGCUAACUCCGUGCCAGCAGCCGCGGUAAUACGGAGGAUCCGAGCGUUAUCCGGAUUUAUUGGGUUUAAAGGGAGCGUAGAUGGAUGUUAAAGUCAGUUGUGAAAGUUUGCGGCUCAACCGUAAAAUUGCAGUUGAUACUGGAUAUCUUGAGUGCAGUUGAGGCAGGCGGAAUUCGUGGUGUAGCGGUGAAAUGCUUAGAUAUCACGAAGAACUCCGAUUG
rnacentral:rRNA from 1 species